AACGAACGCUGGCGGCAGGCUUAACACAUGCAAGUCGAACGCCCCGCAAGGGGAGUGGCAGACGGGUGAGUAACGCGUGGGAACAUACCCUUUUCUACGGAAUAGCUCUGGGAAACUGGAAUUAAUACCGUAUACGCCCUACGGUGGAAAGAUUUAUCGGGGAAGGAUUGGCCCGCGUUGGAUUAGCUAGUUGGUGGGGUAAAGGCCUACCAAGGCGACGAUCCAUAGCUGGUCUGAGAGGAUGAUCAGCCACAUUGGGACUGAGACACGGCCCAAACUCCUACGGGAGGCAGCAGUGGGGAAUAUUGGACAAUGGGCGCAAGCCUGAUCCAGCCAUGCCGCGUGAGUGAUGAAGGCCUUAGGGUUGUAAAGCUCUUUCACCGAUGAAGAUAAUGACGGUAGUCGGAGAAGAAGCCCCGGCUAACUUCGUG
rnacentral:rRNA from 1 species